rnacentral:rRNA from 1 species
CUGAUUAGCUAGUUGGUAAGGUAACGGCUUACCAAGGCGACGAUCAGUAGCCGACCUGAGAGGGAGAUCGGCCACAUUGGAACUGAGACACGGUCCAAACUCCUACGGGAGGCAGCAGUGGGGAAUAUUGCACAAUGGGCGAAAGCCUGAUGCAGCAACGCCGCGUGAGUGAUGAAGGCCUUCGGGUCGUAAAACUCUGUCCUCAAGGAAGAUAAUGACGGUACUUGAGGAGGAAGCCCCGGCUAACUACGUGCCAGCAGCCGCG